AGCUGACUAGCUAGCCAACACAUUUGGUCUAACACCACAACAUACAUAUCCCUAUAAAACUUAAAAUUAAGUCAACAAACCAUUUUUCCACCUUAGUACGGGCGACGGAAAAGGAAACAUUCGAGCAACAGAAAAAGUACCGCAAGGGAAAGCUGAAAGAGAAAUGAAACAACCCAUUUAAGCCUAGAAAAGCAGAGAUUAAAUCUCGUACCUUUUGCAUCAUGAUUUAGCCAGCAAACCUGAGCAAAGAGAACUUUAGUUCAGGCCCCCGAAACUAGACGAGCUACUCCGGGACAGCCUAUUAUAGGGCCAACCCGUCUCUGUGGCAAAAGAGUGGGACGAGCCCCGAGUAGAGGUGACAAACCUAUCGAGCCUAGUUAUAGCUGGUUGCUUAGGAAAUGAAUAGAAGUUCAGCCUCCUGGCUUUCUUAGGACCUCAAGGUAAAACUAACCUUGUCCCAAAGAAACCAAGAGAGUUAAUCAAAGGAGGUACAGCUCCUUUGAACAAGGACACAACCUUAACAGGCGGCUAAGGAUCAUAAUUACUAAGGCGACCUGUUACAGUGGGCCUAAGAGCAGCCACCUGCAUAGAAAGCGUUAAAGCUCAGACAGAUGUAAGCCUCUUAUCCUGAUAAGAAAUCCUACCCCCCUAACCGUACUAAGCCGUUCCAUGCCCCCAUGGAAGCGAUUAUGCUAGAAUGAGUAAUAAGAGAGAACAACUCUCUCCCGGCACAUGUGUAAGUCGGACCGGACCCACCACCGACAAAUAACGAACCCAAACCAAGAGGGAACUGUAAGCCAGAAUAAACAUCCAAGAAGAACCUGCAUCUAUAAAUCGUUAACCCCACACAGGAGUGCUUACAGGGAAA
rnacentral:rRNA from 1 species